UCUUUUUCUUGCUGCUAUGCGAAGGAGGUGCUCCCUGGAAUUUUCUAUCAGUGAGUGGUGGCAUACUGUUGCAAGUUGUAUACUCGGAUAGUUUUCUGGCUGUUACAUUUGUUAGCAAUGACUCGUGGAAACCAGCGUGAACUGGCACGACAGAAGAAUAUUAAGAAAAAUCAAGAAAACCUUAAAGGCAAAAGGAAAGAUGAUAAUUUAUCUCCAGCACAAAGAAAGCAACGGUGAGGAGUGAACAGUAAGCUGAUUAAAGACUGAAAAGAGAUGCUGAAAUAAUGCAAUUGAAGCAAAAAGCAGCAAAUGAGAAAAAGAAUACAUCCACUGGAAACAAGCUGUGAUCACCAACAAGGAAUGCCACGUCAAAUGCCUAAUGGUUUUUCAGAGUUAUGUAUAUAUAGUAGAAAUCAAGAAAAUUCAGCUGAAGUUUUGACAAGUGUGUCACUUUAUGUUGGCAAUUGAGAAUAUUUAUGUUUUCUGUUAUACAGCUGUCGUCACAGUUUCUGCAACAUAGUACAGAAAAGAAAUUGACUACAUGCAAAUGCCAGAUCUUAAAUCUCCAAAUAGAAUUGUUUUUUUAUUAUUAUUAUUACAGUCCCUGACAAAAGUCUUGUUGCUUGUGUACAAAUUGACCUGAAG